AACGAACGCUGGCGGCAUGCCUAACACAUGCAAGUCGAGCGAGAUCUUCGGGUCUAGCGGCGGACGGGUGAGUAACGCGUGGGAAUAUGCCCUUCUCUGCGGAAUAGCCUCGGGAAACUGAGCGUAAUACCGCAUACGCCCUUUGGGGGAAAGAUUUAUCGGAGAAGUAUUAGCCCGCGUUGGAUUAGGUAGUUGGUGGGGUAACGGCCUCCCAAGCCGACAAUCCAUAGCUGGUUUGAGAGGAUGAUCAGCCACUCUGGGACUGAGACACGGCCCAGACUCCUACGGGAGGCAGCAGUGGGGAAUCUUAGACCAUGGGGGCAACCCUGAUCUAGCCAUGCCGCGUGAGUGAUGAAGGCCUUAGGGUUGUAAAGCUCUUUCAGCUGGGAAGAUAAUGACGGUACCAGCAGAAGAAGCCCCGGCUAACUCCGUG
rnacentral:rRNA from 1 species